AUCCUGUCUCCUCUCACCAUCCACGAACUUUUACGGAUUCUCUACUGGACUUUCUACACUUCAGCUGCACCUCUCCUGCCUAUGGAUUACACUGGACACCUCUGUUGAUGAAAAAUUGCUCCAAUACACAACGACGUUUGAAGCUUUUGAACCUUUUGAACUUUUCGAAAAAAAUUUAUUUAGCCA